CGGAGUAGUCGCAGGUGAAAACUAUAGAUUUGGAUAUAAAGCAUCUGGCGAUGCCCCUGAGUUGUUGCGCUUGUGCAACGAGUACGGUCUGUCUGCUUAUAUCGUCAAGUCUGUCAUGGAUAAGAACCGACGAACUUCCAAUGGGGUGAGUACGAUCAUCAACCCGGGCGAUAGGGGACAGGUGUCGUCAUCCCGUGUCAGAUACGCCCUUGCCAUGGGAGAUAUGGAGUACGUCGAAGAGCUUCUGGGG
rnacentral:misc_RNA from 1 species